rnacentral:lncRNA from 1 species
GGAGAAAUGAAAUAAAUUUACAAAGGGAAUACACAUUAGUACAUUUAAUGACAGUCAACUAGUUGAUAAAUGUUGCAUCUUCCACCUUCUAACAACAUCUACUUUUCUCUAAAUUUUUCUUGGAAUACAAGUCUACAACAACACUUAACAAAAAUGAAUCCUUCACGUAUUAGUCAAAUAGGCCAUAUUUAUUUCUCAACAUACUUUUAUCUUGCUCAGUUUUAAUGCAUCAACUUGAGUAAAAAAAACUUAAAUACAAUAACAACAAAAUGGUACAUAUAUUAGGUCUUCUAGAAAAAAAUUCAAAUACCCAACUGAUUCUGCAGCUCAAGAAUAGUGAUAGCAGAGUCCCUAAGCCUCUUCAUCUCCUCUUCAGUCAUAUGAAUAUUAGUCACACCCAAUACACCUCCUCUACCAAGCUGUGCAGGCAAACUAAUAAACACUUCUCCACCAUCAAUGCCAUAAAAUCCCUUUGCAAGAACUGAAACAGGGUGAAUCUUCCUUUGAUUCCUCAUAAUUGUUCGAGCCAAGUUUGCGACGGAGUACCCUAUAGCCCAAGAAGUGUACCCUUUUAAACUGAUCACUUCAUAUGCGCCGUUUAUAACCUCCUUAUGUAUGUUCUCUAGCAUUUCUUUCUCAUAAGCUAUUUGUUGUUUCUCCAAAAAGCUUAGCACUGGAACACCUCCGACACUAAUGCUUGACCAUAAUGCCACUGAACUAUCACCAUGUUCCCCCACUAUUUGUACCUGCACAUCUUGAGCAUUAACAUCAAGAUGAUCAGCAAUAAGGAAACGGAAGCGAGAGGAAUCCAAAUUAGUGCCUGA